rnacentral:rRNA from 1 species
CCUACGGGAGGCAGCAGUGGGGAAUAUUGCACAAUGGGCGCAAGCCUGAUGCAGCCAUGCCGCGUGUAUGAAGAAGGCCUUCGGGUUGUAAAGUACUUUCAGCGGGGAGGAAGGGAGUAAAGUUAAUACCUUUGCUCAUUGACGUUACCCGCAGAAGAAGCACCGGCUAACUCCGUGCCAGCAGCCGCGGUAAUACGGAGGGUGCAAGCGUUAAUCGGAAUUACUGGGCGUAAAGCGCACGCAGGCGGUUUGUUAAGUCAGAUGUGAAAUCCCCGGGCUCAACCUGGGAGCUGCAUCUGAUACUGGCAAGCUUGAGUCUCGUAGAGGGGGGUAGAAUUCCAGGUGUAGCGGUGAAAUGCGUAGAGAUCUGGAGGAAUACCGGGUGGCGGAAGGCGGCCCCCCGGACGAAGACUGACGCUCAGGUGCGAAAGCGUGGGGAGCAAACGAGGAUUAGAUACCCUGGUAGUCCACGCCGUAAACGAUGUACGACUUGGAGGUUGUGCCCUUGAGGCGUGGCUUCCGGAGCUAACGCGUUAAGCGACCGCCUGGGGAGUACGGCCGCAAGGUUAAAACNCGAAAGGAAUUGACGG